AUUGAACGCUGGCGGCAUGCCUUACACAUGCAAGUCGAACGGCAGCACGGGUGCUUGCAUCUGGUGGCGAGUGGCGCACGGGUGAGUAAUACAUCGGAACAUGUCCUGUAGUGGGGUAUAGCCCGGCGAAAGCCGGAUUAAUACCGCAUACGAUCUACGGAUGACAGCGGGGGACCUUCGGGCCUCGCGCUAUAGGGUUGGCCGAAGGCUGAUUAGCUAGUUGGUGGGGUAAAGGCUUACCAAGGCGACGAUCAGUAGCUGGUCUGAGAGGACGACCAGCCACACUGGGACUGAGACACGGCCCAGACUCCUACGGGAGGCAGCAGUGGGGAAUUUUGGACAAUGGGCGAAAGCCUGAUCCAGCAAUGCGGCGUGUGUGAAGAAGGCCUUCGGGUUGUAAAGCACUUUUGUUCGGGAAGAAAUCAUUGGCUCUAAUACAGGCGGGGGAUGACGGUACCGGAAGAAUAAGCACCGGCUAACUACGUG
rnacentral:rRNA from 1 species